rnacentral:rRNA from 1 species
AGAGUUUGAUCAUGGCUCAGAGCGAACGCUGGCGGCAGGCUUAACACAUGCAAGUCGAGCGGGCACCGCAAGGUGUCAGCGGCAGACGGGAGAGUAACACGUGGGAACGUGCCCUUCGAUUCGGAACAACUCCGGGAAACUGGAGCUAAUACCGGAUACGCCCUAACGGGGAAAGAUUUAUCGUCGAAGGAGCGGCCCGC